UACGAAGGGGGCUAGCGUUGCUCGGAAUCACUGGGCGUAAAGCGCACGUAGGCGGCUUGUUAAGUCAGGGGUGAAAUCCUGGAGCUCAACUCCAGAACUGCCUUUGAUACUGGCGAGCUUGAGUUCGGGAGAGUGAGUGGAACUGCGAGUGUAGAGGUGAAAUUCGUAGAUAUUCGCAAGAACACCAGUGGCGAAGGCGGCUCACUGGCCCGAUACUGACGCUGAGGUGCGAAAGCGUGGGGAGCAAACAGG
rnacentral:rRNA from 1 species